AGACUCUCUGCCCCAGCUGCCUGCUUCACAAACUCAGUCGUUCAGUUCCUCGCCAUUCUCUUCACCCAGUUACGCCCACCAGCUUCCUUUGUUUAACUAUGCCUGGCCUUUGUCCUCCUCCUCAUCUCCUCAUCUGACAUGGUGGCAGAAGCUCUCCUUCCUCUCGACUGGACCGGAGGUUCAUGCCAUUGAUGCUGAAGACGUCUCCUCAGCAGCCAUGGAGGCGUUUGCGGAGGUGCCUUUGUUUGAGCUUGAUUACGAGGAAGAGGAUGUUCUGUCAGCGCAGAGGAAGGGUGCCAGUACGUACGCGUCUCACCCCGUGGCGCCCCCGGCGGACGCUGACCCCGACACCUUCAUCUACAUGAACUUCAUGAAGCGUCACUGCUGCUACGACGCCAUUCCCACCAGCUCCAAGCUGGUCAUCUUUGACACCACGCUGCAGGUGAAGAAGGCCUUCUUCGCUCUGGUGGCAAACGGCGUGAGGGCGGCGCCGCUGUGGGACAGCAAGCUGCAGUGCUUUGUGGGUAUGCUGACCAUCACCGACUUCAUCAACAUUCUGCAUCGAUACUACAAAUCUCCUCUGGUUCAGAUCUACGAGCUGGAAGAACAUAAAAUAGAGACGUGGAGAGAAAUCUAUUUACAGUACUCAAAUAAUCAACUGAUUAGCAUCACACCUGAGUCCAGCCUGUUUGACGCCAUCUACUCGCUGUUAAAGAACAAGAUCCACCGUCUGCCAGUCAUCGACCCGGCGUCAGGAAACGUCCUUCACAUCCUCACUCACAAGCGCAUCCUCAAAUUCCUCCACAUUUUUGGGUCCAUGAUUCCUAAACCCCGGUUCCUUCAGAAACGGAUCAGCGAGGUUCCCAUCGGUACCUUCAAGCAGAUCGCAACGGUCCAGGAGUCUGCCACUGUUUACGAAGCUCUGAGCAUUUUUGUAGAAAGAAGAGUGUCCGCUCUGCCGGUGGUCAAUGAGCAAGAUAAAGUCGUGGCGCUCUACUCCAGAUUUGAUGUGAUUAACUUAGCGGCUCAAAAGAACUACAACAAUUUAAACAUGACAAUGCGGGAGGCCAUCGCAUGCAGGUCCUGCUGGAUGGAGGGAGUCCUCAAGUGUUACCCCCACGAAACUCUGGAGACCAUCAUUGACCGCAUUGCAAAGGCUGAGGUUCAUCGUCUGGUUCUGGUCGACAGCGAUGAUGUGGUGAGAGGGAUCGUCUCUCUGUCCGACCUUCUCCAAGCUCUGGUUCUGUCUCCUGCAGGUAUUGAUGCUCUGUACUCGUAAUGACAACCAUCUGCCCCCUCACCUCCUUCAGCCUUCAGUCCAUCAGCCUGAUGCUUCUAGGUAAACCACCAGGAGCCUUUCCUCUUCUUUAAAAUCCGCUUGUAAUCCUCCUUGGCUGUAAACAAUUUCCCCUUUUUACAAUGAACACAUCCCAGAACCCAUCACUUCCUGUAAGCGCAUCGCCCACCAAUUAUUAACCUCCUGACUUUCUUUAGGACCUUACAUGUCCUUCUUUAAAGCCCUUAUCAGCUCAAAAAUACAGCUUUCAAGAAUCCACACUUUCACAAAACCAAACCAAUCCUAAAAUCUGUCAGCCCGCCAAAAAGAAGCAAACCCCAGAGCUCCCAGCUGAACCUCCCACCCAUCAGCAUCCUCAGCCCUUCACAUUAUCCCAGUCAGCAGACGUCUUCAUGCUGCCCUUCCUCCUCUGAACCCACCAGAACCUCCCAGAUAUCUACAAAAAGAGACGUUUUUAAGACAGAUUUUUACACUUUGAGUGCAGAAGAAAAGGAGGAAGUUCAUGUUUCUGUGCUCAAGUGGAGUCAGAGUUCCUUCAAAUCGUGUUUGAACGGGAACAUUUUCGGUUGUUUCGGACAACGGCCUGUAACUGACUGAGACGCUGAUGCUUCACAAUGAAGUUUUUCAUUCAAAUGUUAAGAAAAUGUGAAUUUAUUCAGAGAGAAAUUCUUUAUCCUGUCAUUUAGUCUAUUCGGUCAGGAAGUUGUGGGUUAAAAUUCUUAAUUUAUUUAUGAUUAUUUUCAGUUUUUGUCCCUCUUUUUCAGGAUUUACAUUUUCAAAUUGAGAUGUUCAGUUUACACUCAUUCAUACCUUCUGUAUGUUUUAUUACUCGGUGCAUCCUCACUGUGACAGUUCGCUCAAACACUGAUGUCACAUGACAGGUUAGAACAAAGUCUUAUUGUUUUCUGAUAUAAUAAAACAAAACUAAAGACA